rnacentral:tRNA from 1 species
CAGGGAGACAACAAAAUGUUUAAUAUUAUUAUUUUGUCACCUUAGGUCGAUCGGUAUCUCGCGUUCUUAAUUUAUUAAGAAUUUCAUUUCCUAAGUUUUUCUAGGUCACACCCAUUAUUUUCCUGGGCCAUUAGCUCAGGUGGUUAGAGCGCACCCCUGAUAAGGGUGAGGUCCCUGGUUCAAGUCCAGGAUGGCCCAUAUCUCUAUGUUGGGGGUAUAGCUCAGUUGGUAGAGCGCCUGCUUUGCAAGCAGGAUGUCAGCGGUUCGAGUCCGCUUACCUCCACUGAUUACCACCUCUUCCAUAAUCUGUAGAAAGGAAAAUUUUUUGAGUUGUGAUCAAAUUUCUGAACGAAUCUAGCUUCCUAAUGAAAUCAUUAAGAUGCUGGACUCAUUGAAUUAAUUUCAUUGUUUUCAGAGAACCUUGACAACUGCAUAGAUUAUUUUUAAAGACAAUAAGCAUCUUUAAUGAUGCAGAUUUAUUAUUUGUGCAAAUGCAUUAAUAACAAUUCUAUUAAGCUGAUGCUUCAAUUUUGAAGUUAUU